rnacentral:rRNA from 1 species
CCUACGGGUGGCUGCAGUGGGGAAUAUUGGACAAUGGGGGGAACCCUGAUCCAGCCAUGCCGCGUGUGUGAAGAAGGCCCUCGGGUUGUAAAGCACUUUCAGUGAGGAAGAACGCCUGGUGGUUAAUACCCAUCAGGAAAGACAUCACUCACAGAAGAAGCACCGGCUAACUCCGUGCCAGCAGCCGCGGUAAUACGGAGGGUGCGAGCGUUAAUCGGAAUUACUGGGCGUAAAGCGCGCGUAGGUGGCUUGAUAAGCCGGUUGUGAAAGCCCCGGGCUCAACCUGGGAACGGCAUCCGGAACUGUCAAGCUAGAGUGCAGGAGAGGAAGGUAGAAUUCCCGGUGUAGCGGUGAAAGGCGUAGAGAUCGGGAGGAAUACCAGUGGCGAAGGCGGCCUUCUGGACUGACACUGACACUGAGGUGCGAAAGCGUGGGUAGCAAACAGGAUUAGAUACCCCUGUAGUC